GUGGAAAUGCAUUUUUCCUUGUACCCAGUACAAAAUAUCCCCAGGACAAUAGGAGAAAGAAGAGCAUAUACUUGGGAAGCUGAAAAAGAAAUGCCUUCACCAUGACAAAUGUACAGCAGCACUUAAAAAGUACUGCCUCCUGAAAUAAGGAGAUUUGAAGAAUAAAGAGCAAAUACAUUUUCUCAUUUCUUCAGAUGAAAAGGUCCAAGCAGGAUUGGAAACCUGUCAGUAUCUCUGCAUUGGUGGCUCCCUCCAUUUCCAGCUCAUUCAGUAAAAGCACAUUUCAGGAAAUCUGACAUUACUACCAAGGAAGUAUUGUCCACCAUGCAGGCUGAGCUGGUUCUUGCAAUCCUUUCACCUGCAGAAAGCCCCAGAUCCCUUUCCCAACCUGGAGGACUGAUGGCUUCAUUCUGCAAGGGCUGA
rnacentral:lncRNA from 1 species